UAAGAGCGUAAAAACUCCUUAAACCACUUGUGAACCUUACCUAUUCGUUUGCUUCGGUGGGUGGCCCCCUCCCGGGGGUCCUCUAGGCCGCAAGGCGCCCGCCGGAGGUUAUUUUAACACUAUUAUCUUCUACCGUCGCAUCUGAGUAAAACCAAAAAAAUAAUCA
rnacentral:misc_RNA from 1 species